rnacentral:rRNA from 1 species
UUAAGCGACUAAGCGUACACGGUGGAUGCCCUGGCAGUCAGAGGCGAUGAAGGGCGUGCUAAUCUGCGAUAAGCGCCGGUAAGGUGAUAUGAACCGUUAUAACCGGCGAUACCCGAAUGGGGAAACCCAGUGUGAUUCGUCACACUAUCAUUAACUGAAUCCAUAGGUUAAUGAGGCGAACCGGGGGAACUGAAACAUCUAAGUACCCCGAGGAAAAGAAAUCAACCGAGAUUCCCCCAGUAGCGGCGAGCGAACGGGGAGGAGCCCAGAGCCUGAAUCAGCAUGUGUGUUAGUGGAAGCGUCUGGAAAGGCGCGCGAUACAGGGUGACAGCCCCGUACACAAAAGCGCAUGUGCUGUGAGCUCGAUGAGUAGGGCGGGACACGUGGUAUCCUGUCUGAAUAUGGGGGGACCAUCCUCCAAGGCUAAAUACUCCUGACUGACCGAUAGUGAACCAGUACCGUGAGGGAAAGGCGAAAAGAACCCCGGCGAGGGGAGUGAAAAAGAACCUGAAACCGUGUACGUACAAGCAGUGGGAGCACAGGUUUACCUGUGUGACUGCGUACCUUUUGUAUAAUGGGUCAGCGACUUAUAUUCUGUAGCAAGGUUAACCGAAUAGGGGAGCCGGAGGGAAACCGAGUCUUAAUUGGGCGUUAAGUUGCAGGGUAUAGACCCGAAACCCGGUGAUCUAGCCAUGGGCAGGUUGAAGGUUGGGUAACACUAACUGGAGGACCGAACCGACUAAUGUUGAAAAAUUAGCGGAUGACCUGUGGCUGGGGGUGAAAGGCCAAUCAAACCGGGAGAUAGCUGGUUCUCCCCGAAAGCUAUUUAGGUAGCGCCUCGUGAACUCAUCUCCGGGGGUAGAGCACUGUUUCGGCUAGGGGGCCAUCCCGGCUUACCAACCCGAUGCAAACUGCGAAUACCGGAGAAUGUUAUCACGGGAGACACACGGCGGGUGCUAACGUCCGUCGUGAAGAGGGAAACAACCCAGACCGCCAGCUAAGGUCCCAAAGUCAUGGUUAAGUGGGAAACGAUGUGGGAAGGCCCAGACAGCCAGGAUGUUGGCUUAGAAGCAGCCAUCAUUUAAAGAAAGCGUAAUAGCUCACUGGUCGAGUCGGCCUGCGCGGAAGAUGUAACGGGGCUAAACCAUGCACCGAAGCUGCGGCAGCGACGCUUAUGCGUUGUUGGGUAGGGGAGCGUUCUGUAAGCCUGUGAAGGUGGCCUGUGAGGGUUGCUGGAGGUAUCAGAAGUGCGAAUGCUGACAUAAGUAACGAUAAAGCGGGUGAAAAGCCCGCUCGCCGGAAGACCAAGGGUUCCUGUCCAACGUUAAUCGGGGCAGGGUGAGUCGACCCCUAAGGCGAGGCCGAAAGGCGUAGUCGAUGGGAAACGGGUUAAUAUUCCCGUACUUGGUGUUACUGCGAAGGGGGGACGGAGAAGGCUAUGUUGGCCGGGCGACGGUUGUCCCGGUUUAAGCGUGUAGGUGUGUGUUCCAGGUAAAUCCGGUUCACUUUAACACUGAGGCGUGAUGACGAGGCACUACGGUGCUGAAGCAACAAAUGCCCUGCUUCCAGGAAAAGCCUCUAAGCAUCAGGUAACACGAAAUCGUACCCCAAACCGACACAGGUGGUCAGGUAGAGAAUACCAAGGCGCUUGAGAGAACUCGGGUGAAGGAACUAGGCAAAAUGGUGCCGUAACUUCGGGAGAAGGCACGCUGACACGUAGGUGAAGUGAUUUACUCAUGGAGCUGAAGUCAGUCGAAGAUACCAGCUGGCUGCAACUGUUUAUUAAAAACACAGCACUGUGCAAACACGAAAGUGGACGUAUACGGUGUGACGCCUGCCCGGUGCCGGAAGGUUAAUUGAUGGGGUCAGCGCAAGCGAAGCUCCUGAUCGAAGCCCCGGUAAACGGCGGCCGUAACUAUAACGGUCCUAAGGUAGCGAAAUUCCUUGUCGGGUAAGUUCCGACCUGCACGAAUGGCGUAAUGAUGGCCAGGCUGUCUCCACCCGAGACUCAGUGAAAUUGAACUCGCUGUGAAGAUGCAGUGUACCCGCGGCAAGACGGAAAGACCCCGUGAACCUUUACUAUAGCUUGACACUGAACAUUGAGCCUUGAUGUGUAGGAUAGGUGGGAGGCUUUGAAGUGUGGACGCCAGUCUGCAUGGAGCCGACCUUGAAAUACCACCCUUUAAUGUUUGAUGUUCUAACGUGGACCCGUAAUCCGGGUUGCGGACAGUGUCUGGUGGGUAGUUUGACUGGGGCGGUCUCCUCCUAAAGAGUAACGGAGGAGCACGAAGGUUGGCUAAUCCUGGUCGGACAUCAGGAGGUUAGUGCAAUGGCAUAAGCCAGCUUGACUGCGAGCGUGACGGCGCGAGCAGGUGCGAAAGCAGGUCAUAGUGAUCCGGUGGUUCUGAAUGGAAGGGCCAUCGCUCAACGGAUAAAAGGUACUCCGGGGAUAACAGGCUGAUACCGCCCAAGAGUUCAUAUCGACGGCGGUGUUUGGCACCUCGAUGUCGGCUCAUCACAUCCUGGGGCUGAAGUAGGUCCCAAGGGUAUGGCUGUUCGCCAUUUAAAGUGGUACGCGAGCUGGGUUUAGAACGUCGUGAGACAGUUCGGUCCCUAUCUGCCGUGGGCGCUGGAGAACUGAGGGGGGCUGCUCCUAGUACGAGAGGACCGGAGUGGACGCAUCACUGGUGUUCGGGUUGUCAUGCCAAUGGCACUGCCCGGUAGCUAAAUGCGGAAGAGAUAAGUGCUGAAAGCAUCUAAGCACGAAACUUGCCCCGAGAUGAGUUCUCCCUGAGACUUAGAGUCUCCUGAAGGAACGUUGAAGACGACGACGUUGAUAGGCCGGGUGUGUAAGCGCAGCGAUGCGUUGAGCUAACCGGUACUAAUGAACCGUGAGGCUUAACCUU